UACAACCAUAUCAUGUUGAAACACUGGUUCUCAUAUGAUCACUGAAGUUAAGCAACAUCAAACCUGGUCUGUACUUAGAUGGGUGACUGCUUGGGAAUAUCAGGUGCUGU